rnacentral:rRNA from 1 species
GGGUAAGUUCCGACCUGCACGAAUGGCGUAACGACUUGGGCGCUGUCUCGACCACAGACUCGGCGAAAUUGCACUACGAGUAAAGAUGCUCGUUACGCGCAGCAGGACGGAAAGACCCCGUGACCUUUACUACAGCUUGGUAUUGGUGUUCGGUGUGGCUUGUGUAGGAUAGGUGGGAGACUGUGAAGCUAUCACGCCAGUGGUGGUGGAGUCGUUGUUGAAAUACCACUCUGGUCGAAUUGGGUGUCUCAACCUCGGGCCAUGAUCUGGUUCAGGGACAGUGCCUGGUGGGUAGUUUAACUGGGGCGGUUGCCUCCCAAAGAGUAACGGAGGCGCCCAAAGGUUCCCUCAGCCUGGUUGGCAAUCAGGUGUUGAGUGUAA